rnacentral:rRNA from 1 species
GACGAACGCUGGCGGCGUGCUUAACACAUGCAAGUCGAACGGAAAGGCCCUGCUUUUGUGGGGUGCUCGAGUGGCGAACGGGUGAGUAACACGUGAGUAACCUGCCCUUGACUUUGGGAUAACUUCAGGAAACUGGGGCUAAUACCGGAUAGGAGCUCCUGCUGCAUGGUGGGGGUUGGAAAGUUUCGGCGGUUGGGGAUGGACUCGCGGCUGAUCAGCUUGUUGGUGGGGUAGUGGCUUACCAAGGCCUUGACGGGUAGCCGGCCUGAGAGGGUGACCGGCCACAUUGGGACUGGGAUGCGACCCGGACUCCAACGGGAGGCAGCGGUGGAGAGUAGAGCACAAUGGGCGGAAGCCUGAUGCAGCAACGCCGCGUGCGGGAUGACGGCCUUCGGGUAGUAAACCGCUUUCGCCUGUGACGAAGCGUGAGUGACGGUAAUGGGUAAAGAAGCACCGGCUAACUACGUG